rnacentral:lncRNA from 1 species
AAAAUAACAUUAUUAUUAUAAAAUAAAUAAAUUAUGAUGUUUGUGAUUUUAUCAUGAAGUUUAUCUUGUACACUUUUAUUUUUUUAUUUUAUAUAAAUAAAUCGCCCGAUUUCUCAUUCUCUAUAAAAAUUAAUGUCUUUUACUUAUUCAUUCCAAGCUCCAAAAUUUUCAGAUCUAUGCAGCAUGCUUUUUCUUUACAAAACAAAAACAAAAAAUCAAACUAUUUUUAGAAAAAAACACAAGCAAAAUUAGAAACCUAAAUCUGAUUUUAAAGUCAUAAAAAAAACUAAAUUUUGAUUCAUAAUCUUAAGAGAACUAUCAAAA